rnacentral:rRNA from 1 species
GAUGAACGCUGGCGGCGUGCCUAAUACAUGCAAGUCGAGCGAACAGACGAGGAGCUUGCUCCUCUGACGUUAGCGGCGGACGGGUGAGUAACACGUGGAUAACCUACCUAUAAGACUGGGAUAACUUCGGGAAACCGGAGCUAAUACCGGAUAAUAUAUUGAACCGCAUGGUUCAAUAGUGAAAGACGGUUUUGCUGUCACUUAUAGAUGGAUCCGCGCCGUAUUAGCUAGUUGGUAAGGUAACGGCUUACCAAGGCAACGAUACGUAGCCGACCUGAGAGGGUGAUCGGCCACACUGGAACUGAGACACGGUCCAGACUCCUACGGGAGGCAGCAGUAGGGAAUCUUCCGCAAUGGGCGAAAGCUUGACGGAGCAACGCCGCGUGAGUGAUGAAGGUCUUCGGAUCGUAAAACUCUGUUAUUAGGGAAGAACAAAUGUGUAAGUAACUGUGCACGUCUUGACGGUACCUAAUCAGAAAGCCACGGCUAACUACGUG